CCUUGGUUAAUCACUUCCAAGACACUUGGAACUUAAGGGAACUAUUAGGGGCACUUGGCCUACAGUCCUAAGUAUCUGAGAGGGGUCCACAUCCACAAGUCUGGGGUGAUCUACUGUGGGCAUCCCCUGUCCCGUCCUGUCUGUCAAUGAAGCUGAUUGCUAGCAGUUAGAUGGAUGGAGUGUGGACAAGAGCCUGUGAAGUGCUGGGAGUUACAGGACAGAACAGUGCCACCUGGAGCAUCUCCUGCAACAGGUAGCCUCCCUGGUGAUGUGAGUAGCAGACAAGUCAUCCUUGUUACAUGUCUAGUAUCCUGCUAUGAGGGGAAUCUCUUUGAGACAGCUCAUGCUAAAAGCUUUCGGUAAUGGUUUCCUGUGAAGACACACCGAGUCCCCACUGGAUAAUUAGAAUGGAGUGGAAUCCUGUGAGAAUGGUUGCAGUCUCCAAAGGCUAUCACUGCCACAGCCCAGGGAUGGGGCUCUUUAAUUGCAGGCACUAUGGAGGAGAGAGUCCCAGGACCAGCAAAGCUGGAAAGAGCAUCACUGUAGACCAUGGUGACAUCACCCAGCUGGCUCUAACAGGAAGCCUGAGAUAGUGAGGCUGGACUCAAACACCAGAGACCAGGUCAGUUUGUACCCAGCCACAGGAGGCAUUUCUGCAGCAUACGGCAGCCUGGCAAUCAAGAACUGGAUGGCUAGGCAUGUUUUUUUGCUUAUGUUGAAAGCAUUGGGGACUAUGACACAUGCUUGUAAGCAUGUACUUUGGGCCUGGAGAGUGGUGGUGCAUGCUUUUAAUCCCAGCACUGGGAAGGCAGAAGCAGGCAGAUCUCUAUGAGUUAGAGGUCAGUCUAGUCUACAUAGUGAUUUCCAGGACAGCCAGAGCUACAUAGCAAGACCCUGUUUAAAAAAAAUUGAAAAAGAGAGAAUGUACGUUGGUACAAUCUUUGGAAUGUACACUUGACUAGCAAAUUUCAAGACACACAUAGUCCUGAAGAAAUUCCUGCACAAGGAGACAAGAUCAGAAGCCAUCUUUAUAGAAUGUGGAUAUGAUAGUGUGUCCCUGCAGUGAGCACACACAGAGCAGCACAGAGCAAUGGAUCAUAGCUACACAUGGAGACGGGUGAGACACUGGAAUGAACCGUGGGGCAGCCCUGUGGAUGCACAGUCUUUAUGAACCACAGUUCUAUGGCCUUCAAUUGUCUGAGUUCUGAAACAGGGAAGGGGUGAGUCAUUGUUAAGAGUCAGCACCAUCCAACCCUCCAAGGCCCAAUGCUUGAACUUCUACAAUUAGAAAUGGAUUCCUCCGAGUCAAGACUGUGAACUGUUGGAAACCCAAGAGUUCUGACAGUUUCUGGUUCUGUAGUGAUGCCUUGGUCAUGGCACACAUCCCUCCCAGAAAAAAAAAAAACUCCUGAGAGGAAACUGAUGAUCAAGAGGCUGGGCAUCAGGGUCAAAGGCAAAAUCCUGGGCACACUAAUAUUAGGGACUGACCACGAAGUGAGAAGUCAGAGGAGACCAGAAAAGCCAACCAAACCACAAGUUUUAAGGAGUAGUUACCAAAACUGGCUGAGUACCAGGAGGCUGAUCUACUCCAGUGAAGAACAAACAUACAUCAAUUAAUAAACUGACAGUUAAGAAAAUCUUUGUUGGCUGGAGAUGUAGUUCAGUCAUAGAUUGUUUGUCCAGCUUGCUCAAGGUCUGGGGUUCGGUCUCCAGCACUGAAAAGAUGAAAAAGUUAUUGUUUGGGCUAUAGGUGUAGCUCAG